rnacentral:misc_RNA from 1 species
GAACCUUAUCGUUUAGAGGAAGGAGAAGUCGUAACAAGGUUUCCGUAGGUGAACCUGCGGAAGGAUCAUUGUCGAAGCCUGCUUAGCAGAACGACCUGAGAACCUGUACAAACAUGUUGGUGUCACAGGGGUCGCGCAUAUGUUCGACCGUUGUGGUGCCUUGUUGAUUUGCCAUUCAUGUUAGCACCUUUGGGUUGUCUUGGAUGUCAAAUCAACAUAACAACAAACCCCGGCACGGCAUGUGCCAAGGAAAACAAAACUUAAGAAGAGCUUAUGCAAUGCCACCACGUUUGCGUUGGUGUGCAAGGCAUGUGGCUUCUUUGUAAACACAAACGACUCUCGGCAACGGAUAUCUCGGCUCACGCAUCGAUGAAGAACGUAGCAAAAUGCGAUACUUGGUGUGAAUUGCAGAAUCCCGUGAACCAUCGAGUUUUUGAACGCAAGUUGCGCCCGAAGCCAUUCGGCCGAGGGCACGUCUGCCUGGGCGUCACGUAUCGCGUCGCCCCUCAUCGUGCCUCUCUGAUGGGAAUGCACGAUGUGGGGCGGAUAAUGGUCUCCCGUACCUAAGGUGCGGAUGGCCAAAACCUGAGUCCCCUUGACGGACGCAUGACAAGUGGUGGUUACCUAAACCCUCGUCUCGUGUCGUGUGUUUUGAGCCGUCAGGGCGGCAAGAGAAGAAACCCCAACGUGUCGUCUUGUGAUGACGCUUCGACCGCGACCCCAGGUCAGGCGGGACUACCCGCUGAGUUUAAGCAUAUCAAUAAGCGGAGGAGAAGAAACUUACAAGGAUUCCCUUAGUAACGGCGAGCGAACCGGGAAUAGCCCAGCGUGAAAAUCUGGCGG